UACGUAGGGUGCGAGCGUUGUCCGGAAUUAUUGGGCGUAAAGAGCUCGUAGGCGGUUUGUUGCGUCGGCCGUGAAAACCUGCAGCUUAACUGUGGGCCUGCGGCCGAUACGGGCAGACUUGAGUUCGGUAGGGGAGACUGGAAUUCCUGGUGUAGCGGUGAAAUGCGCAGAUAUCAGGAGGAACACCGGUGGCGAAGGCGGAUCUCUGGGCCAUUACUGACGCUGAGGAGCGAAAGCGUGGGGAGCGAUCCGG
rnacentral:rRNA from 1 species